UACGGGGGGGGCAAGCGUUGUUCGGAAUUACUGGGCGUAAAGGGCUCGUAGGCGGCUAACUAAGUCAGACGUGAAAUCCCUCGGCUUAACCGGGGAAUGGCUUCUGAUACUGGAUAGCUUGAGUUUGGGAGAGGGAUGCGGAAUUCCAGGUGUAGCGGUGAAAUGCGUAGAUAUCUGGAGGAACACCGGUGGCGAAGGCGGCAUCCUGGACCAACACUGACGCUGAUGAGCGAAAGCCAGGGGAGCAAACGGG
rnacentral:rRNA from 1 species